rnacentral:rRNA from 1 species
GACGAACGCUGGCGGCGUGCUUAACACAUGCGAGUCGAACGGAAAGGCCCUGCUUUUGUGGGGUGCUCGAGUGGCGAACGGGUGAGUAACACGUGAGUAACCUGCCCUUGACUUUGGGAUAACUUCAGGAAACUGGGGCUAAUACCGGAUAGGAGCUCCUGCUGCAUGGUGGGGGUUGGAAAGUUUCGGCGGGUGGGGAUGGACUCGCGGCUUAUCAGCUUGUUGGUGGGGUAGUGGCUUACCAAGGCUUUGACGGGUAGCCGGCCUGAGAGGGUGACCGGCCACACUGGGUCUGAGAUACGGCCCAGACUCCUACGGGAGGCAGCAGUGGGGAAUAUUGCACAAUGGGCGGAAGCCUGAUGCAGCAACGCCGCGUGCGGGAUGACGGCCUUCGGGUUGUAAACCGCUUUCGCCUGUGACGAAGCGUGAGUGGCGGUAAUGGGUAAAGAAGCACCGGCUAACUACGUG